AAUGAACGCUGGCGGCACGCUUAACACAUGCAAGUCGAACGGGAUCUUCGGAUCUAGUGGCAGACGGGUGAGUAACGCGUGGGAACCUGCCCAGUAGUAGAGAAUAACUUGAGGAAACUUAAGCUAAUACUUUAUACACCCUUCGGGGAAAAGCUUUAUGCGCUAUUGGAUGGGGCCCGCGUUAGAUUAGUUUGUUGGUGAGGUAAUGGCUCACCAAGACUACGAUCUAUAGCUGGUCUGAGAGGAUGAUCAGCCACACUGGGACUGAGACACGGCCCAGACUCCUACGGGAGGCAGCAGUGGGGAAUAUUGGACAAUGGGGGCAACCCUGAUCCAGCGAUGCCGCGUGAGUGAAG
rnacentral:rRNA from 1 species